GCCUCAGUAGUCUAAUGAAUAUGACGUCGUCCUGCUAAGCCGAAGGUUGCGGGUUCGAAUCACGUCGGGGGUG
rnacentral:tRNA from 1 species